GUCCCUAUAGCGCAAUGAAUAGCGCUUUGGACAUCUAAUACAAAGAUAGUGGAUUCGAAUCCCACCAGGGAUG